CCCACCUCUGAUCGGGACUCGGGUCUAGUUCGCCAAACCAGCGGGGCUCAGAAGAGGGCUGUCACAAAGGGCAUACAUUGGACUAGGGAACGGAAGCGGCUCUUUUUUGUCACGGAACCGCCGAGAGAAGAUGAGAAAACCAGAGCAAACAAAGCCUGAGUGAUUGACACAGCAUCAAACAGCUGUAUAGGAAAAAAGAUGCCAAGAAAUCACCACUUCAGAAGGACUGAAACAGUGAGCAUGGCAAAGCAAGGACAAAUGUGAGACCCUCGGACUUUAAUUUGAGCCCUAAAGGGUUGGAUGUUUCUUUGACAGCUUCCUACCUAU